AGAAUCAACGCUGGCGGCGCGCUUAACACAUGCAAGUCGAGCGAGAAAGUGGAGCAAUCCAUGAGUAAAGCGGCGUACGGGUGAGUAACACGUGGAUCAUCUACCUUUUAGUGGGGGAUAACUCUGGGAAACCGGAGCUAAUACCGCAUAAGCCUGUAAAGGGAAAGCAGCAAUGCGCUGAAAGAGGAGUCCUCGGCCGAUUAGCUAGUUGGUGAGGUAACGGCCCACCAAGGCGAUGAUCGGUA
rnacentral:rRNA from 1 species